rnacentral:rRNA from 1 species
AACGAACGCUGGCGGCAGGCCUAACACAUGCAAGUCGAGCGGACAUCUUCGGAUGUUAGCGGCGGACGGGUGAGUAACGCGUGGGAACGUGCCCUUUGCUUCGGAAUAGCCUCGGGAAACUGGGAGUAAUACCGGAUGUACCCUUUGGGGGAAAGAUUUAUCGGCAAAGGAUCGGCCCGCGUUGGAUUAGGUAGUUGGUGGGGUAAUGGCCUACCAAGCCGACGAUCCAUAGCUGGUUUGAGAGGAUGAUCAGCCACACUGGGACUGAGACACGGCCCAGACUCCUACGGGAGGCAGCAGUGGGGAAUCUUAGACAAUGGGAAACCCUGAUCUAGCCAUGCCGCGUGAGCGAUGAAGGCCUUAGGGUUGUAAAGCUCUUUCACCGGGGAAGAUAAUGACGGUACCCGGAGAAGAAGCCCCGGCUAACUCCGUG